rnacentral:lncRNA from 1 species
CCGGGAACGCCUGCAAGUUCCUCUGCACCCACGUCGCCGCCGCGCUCGGGUCGGAGGCCAGCGAGGAGAGGUCCGAGUUGGGCACGUCCAUGAUCACGCCGAUGUUGCUGCCGCUCAGCGCGUUCAGCGCGUUGGUGUCCGGGAAGUAGAUGCGCAUGAGGUUGAUGCCGUUGGACUGGUAGAGCUGCACCACGUCGCUCGCCGGCGGCAGGUUGUCGCCGUUCACGCCGUAGCACACGCCGAUGGAUUUGACUCCUGUACGUACGUACAUAAGUGUCAAUAAUGCAUGCAUAUCAGCAUAUCGCGGUGAUCAGCAUUGCACCUAGCUAGAGUAAUGUAUGAUGCGUGAUGCAUGAAAAUCUGAUCUGACCUGUAGGAGUGGCUGGAAAUGCUCGGAGCAGCAAUGCCAGUGCAAGCAUGGAAGCUACAAGAAGCAAUGCCAGUGCAAGCAUGGAAGCGACAACCUGCUUCGACAUCUUGGAAGGAUCAGGAUCAGGAUCAGGAUCAGUUGCGCUACUCCUAUAUGUUUGCAGCAGCUACAGACAGGUAACUGUAACCGAUGCUACACUGGACUGCACUCCACUGCAUGCAAUUCACCGAGGCAUCGAGGCAUAUUUAUAUAGCUAGCUAGCUAGGCAGGGGCACGGCGGAGGCAAAUUCUGAGAGAUGUGCCGUCUCUCUGAUCGCCCAGUUUUAGCGGCACCAAUGCAAUACCUCGUUCCGUUAACAGCUUACACCGGAAGCCGCCGAGACGUACUGAUCUUGCCGCGGCAGCGACAGAUGAAGACGUAGACCUGACCUCGUCGCGAGCAAGCAUGUUGGGUGUUGGCUUUCUCAAAUCUGCGGUUGGACUUCGACGUCAUCGAGCACUCAGGAGCUACCGCAACGCGGGCUCGGCGUGGCGAUGCUCGAGCGGUUCUGUUGCAGGGGCGCGCGACCACCUGCUCGAGCUGUUCGCUGUGGUCCAGGAUGGUGAAUUUGUGAUAGAGAUGUCAACUCUGCUAAUUAAUGGGUUUUCUUCUUGAAAUAAUCUCUAGUAAAACUCCAAAUCAACCCCCAAAUGCAUAGACAUCAAUCUUUCUUUGUUGACCUUCCUGUAUGAAAAAUAUUCAGAACCCAAGUACCUCGACAGUAGCAGUUUUUCAUAUCUGAUGUAACUGUGAGUUAAUAUACUAGCUAACUGCUAACCAAAGUCUUGAGAUGAUACAGAGUCACAGAUCCAAAAGGUUCCAGUGAUGUCGGUACAUGUUAGCAAAGGAAGUUGAAACUGACACUUGCUUUGCUAACCCAAAAUCACACGACUGAAUGAAAUUUCCACUAGGUAACAAUGUCACAAAGGAUCAACAUCGGCAAAAGUGAUGUUACAAAUGGUUUCCCAAUCGCAUUACUGCUUCCGUGUCAAGCUGAAUAAGAACUUGUGAUCACUCUGUAGUUGACAUGUCGUAUCACCUGUGAAUUUGUGAUCACUGCCCUACGAAUAUAGGCCUUGUUUAGUUCACCCUGAAAACCAAAAAGUUUUCAAGAUUUCCCGUCACAUCGAAUCUUCUAGCACAUGCAUGAAACAUUAAAUAUAGACGAAAACAAAAACUAAUUACACAGUUUAGUUGUAAAUCAUGAAACGAAUCUUUUGAUCCUAGUUAGUCCAUAAUUGGAUAAUAUUUGUCACAAUCAAACGAAAGUGCUAUAGUACCGAAAACUUUUCACUCUUCGGAACUAAACAAGGCAAUAAAUUAUAUUCCUUUACCCAAUGCAGACUUUGAACACCAGAUAAUCCAUUUCAACGGGUGGAGGUGGAUGAUGCAGACUGGGCCUGGUGGCGGCAAAUUCACUAGGGCCAGUAGCGCGCUGGGUGGCCCUGUGUCCUGGCAGCGUCAUCCCCGUUCACGGCGGACAGCUAGAGCAGCGGGGCGCCCUCGCGAUAUGGAGCCGCUCGAGCUCUGCCAUGUCGUCGAGACCGUGCUGUGGCGUCUUCUUGUGUCGACAUCGCAGCUGAUGCUGGCAUGAGCUAGCGCCCUAUGAAUGUCAUGAUCUGCCGGCCUCGUUUUCGCACACAUCUUUAGGUGGCUUCUGACGAAAGAAAACGCUUUGCCGUUCACGACUAACCUGAAAUUAAUCACUUUAUAGAGAGAUUGAGAGGAAAACACUGUUUAGAAUUAAACUGCCAAAUUAAGGAGUCUUCUUCGUCAAACAAACUGUAGAGGCUAACUAAAUUACUUCUAACUAGAGGUUCAUCAACCAGUUAUCAACACACCUUCUGACUUUCCACCCCCAAAGAUUAGCCACCGUUUCCGACUUUCCAUGGACCAGAAUAUAAAUUUCCCAAAAAUGUAUAGCUCAACUAGAGUUUCCCAACCAGUUAUCCUUUAAAAACUUAAUCUUCUUCUUGUUACCUAUUUCCUGUCUGAACUCCAUUUUCGCAGCAGAGGCUGCCCACAGCAAGCCUUUAAAAAAUGGUGAAGUCAUGCACUCGUGCUAGCAGUAUUGUAUUUAUAGUCAACAACAAUACAACAUGGCUACUUAACUUACUCCACAAGGCUAACAGACACUUCUUUAAAUCUCUCAAAUUUGGUACCAAGCCGCCCAAAAUCUUUGAACAUACUACUAACACUCUCCCAAUUUGCAAGAUGAUAUGUUCUAAUUUUGAACCGAAUUUUAAUUGAUUAUAAUGAGAUAUUACUCCCAUUUAAUAAUGAUCGAUGCACAUAAUGUCGAGACGAAAUUAGGAGAAAGCAUAUAACUACAUGGGCAAAGAAGAAAUAAAUCAAGAAUGUACUUCUUGUUAUUCAUUUUUAUGUAAUAAUCGAAGCACUUGCCUUACAUGGAUGCACUUUGCAUUUUACAGGCAGUUUAUUCAAUGUUUUGGUAUGUAGUAUAUAAGGUAUAUAUGUGUAUCUGUAUGGUAUCUCGUAUAGUUAAAUUUUAUGUCUUGUUCGAUCGUGUAUAUAUGGACCGGGCCGCGCGAGCGUCCCACUUGGUUGGUUUUUAGGAGAAAUUGAUGGAGUACGCCGGCGAUUUGUCCGGGUUGAAGAGUCCGAAGUGCCUCUCCGUCUCGGCUCCCGUCUUCUUGUCCUCGUUGAACAUGGCGAAGAUGUAGGUCUCGAUGGCGCCGGGGCGCUUGGGCGUGCCCUUCCCGACAUGGUUGAUGAGGUUCUGGUUGUAGGUCUGCGCGUUCCCCGGCGUGGCGGCGUCGCCGCCGGCGGACGGCCAGCCGCUCUCGGACACGACGACGCCGACGUUCCCGGCGCCGGCGUUCUCGAGCGCGGACACGAAGGUGUCGACGAGCGCGUCGAAGAGGUUCUGGUACGCGUUGCUGCCGUCCUGCACGACGGUCCCCGGCGACGUGAAGAGCGCGUAGCUGAGGGCGAUCUGGGCCUCGUUGCCCGUGUAGGAGAAGUAGGGGUAGACGUUGCAGAGCAGCGGGGCCCCCGUGCUCUGCAGGUACUGCGCGAUGGGCGCCAUGUAGCUCUGCGAGAAGCUGCCCUGCGACGGCGGGUACCCCUGCGUGACGCCGCUCUGCACCGCCGUGGACACCUUGAUCUUUCCCAGCCCGGCGUUGGACAGCGCCGAGUUGACGUUCUUCAUGGCGGGGAGGAUGUUGUUGGUGUCCCCGCCGGAGACCUCGUUGCCGACGGCGAUGUACUUGAAGUUGACCCCCGGGAACGCCUGCACGUUGCUCUUCACCCACGUCGCCGCCGCGCUCGGGUCGGAGGCCAGCGAGGAGAGGUCCGUGUUGGGCACGUCCAUGAUCACCCCGAUGUUGCUGCCGCUCAGCGCGUUGAGCGCGUUGGUGUCCGCGAAGUAGAUGCGCAUCAGGUUGAUGCCGUUGGACUGGUACAGUUUCACCACGUCGCUCGCCGACGGCAGGUUGUCGCCGUUCACGCCGUAGCACACCCCGAUGGCUUGCACUCCUGUACGUCAGUGUCAGUCAUGUACGCACAUCGAUUAAUUAUAACGACAUUGCACUGAGAUCGACUAGUAAUACUCCAAUGAUGAUGCAUGCAAUGCCAUAAAUAUAUACAAAUGGGUAGGGUACUACGUAUGAACAACGUAUCUUAAUCACCUGUAGGAAUGGCUGCAAAUGCUCCGAGGAGCAAUGCCAGUGCAAGCAUGGAAGCGAUACACUGCCUCGCCAUCUUGCAAGGAUCGAUCAGGUAUGUGAAGAGUAUCUUAACAGGUAUAGCCAGAUGACUACUACUGUGACUGAUGCUGUACUGCACUCUGCAUGCAAUUCACCGAGGCAACGGGGCCGUAUUUAUAGCUAGCUAGCUAGCGAUAUAUAGACAGGGCACGCCGACGCCGGGCAAUGCAGGCCGUUCCAAGGCGGCCAGCAGCAAGGCAAUAUCCAGUUGGGCAGGUCACAGGAUAAUAGCCAUUCAGCAAGUCUCCGGUCGAUGGAUUGGAUUUUUCCAAGUUUCCACCACUACGACGUCUACGUAUAACGUAGCCAUCUCUCUCUAGUUUAAUUUAUAUAUAUAGCAAGUAUAUACUAGUCAGUAUCCAUCAAUUUACCGGUGUGGAACUAAGUAAUUCGUAUGUAUGUGCGCUCUAGGAACGAAGGCCGCGCAUCCGAACGUGGCGGUCGCGAUCCCCGGGUGGCCUAACAGUCUAACACACACCACACGGCAGAGGCGGCGGCGGCGGGCGAGGAGGUCCUCCGCCGAUCGCGGCCGGUGUGGUGCCGGAAGCUGCAUGUAAUGUAGUACCACGUAGAAUACAAAGGCGCGCGUUGGCCGGGCUCGUGGAAUUCCUGGACGAGCUGACCGGGCCCCUCUGCCCCGUUUGACGGGCUGGGGCCGGCCUCUUGUUAAUUUUUGGUCGCCCGCCGUGCCAGCCCUUGCGCGCGACUUGUUGCUUGUUGCGUCUGCUUCUUGUGCUCUGCUUGCCCGGUUGCCACCCGUCGCCCGCGUCGCGUGCGUGCCAGCUUUCGUCGCGGCCUCUCCCCGUCGGUUUCAUGGGUGGCCGGGUGCGGGACGAAUCGUGAACAACCGUGUUCAGAUUUUGGAAGAGCUGAUCCAUCAGGAGAAGCUGCGCCUGCGCUGCGUGAUCGCCUAACUUCGUUUGGGGUUGGGGCCAAGAGGUGAGGAGACUGCCAGAGCAACUCUAAGAGCUUAACUAUUUUUAUUAGAGCAACUUUAAUAGAUUCUCUAAAUCCUUGGAAUAGAGAUUUUGGUGAAAAGUUAUCCUCUAAUAAUAGAAGACAAGAAUGACUCUCUAGAGUGCACACGAAAGGUAGAAAAGUUGUUGGAGAGUGAAGAAAUAUAGAAAGCGAUUUUUAUAGAAAUGGUUCUCUAAAUAAUGAUUUAGAGAAUAAGAUUUGCAAAGACUCUUGGAGAUGCUCUUAUCAAGACUAUUUUAAAACUUGUAUAGCAGAAAAAUAGGCUCCAACACAUGUACUAUUUGGUUUUGUAAAAUAGAAAGUUGACUAUCUCUUAAUUUUCGGUGGCCAUAUAUAGCUAAUCACUGGCACUACUAUCUGAUAGCAAGGUUGUUGUAGACCUCUUCUUUUUUAAGAAAUUAUCAAUUUUUACAAAAUGACUAAACAAUAAAAUUUGGCUACUAAUUUUAACUAAGCUCCUGGAGUUGUUCUUAGGACCCAUUUGAUUUCACUUGCUAAAUUUUAGUCACUUUAGUAGUUAAACUUUCUAACACACUAGCUAAAAAAACUAAAAUAGUUUAUUUCACAAUUCACUCAAAACUAAAUUAAAAUAGUUUUAGCUGACUAAAAUUUAGUAAGAGAACCAAACAGGCCUUUAACAAAAAAAGAAAAGUGAGGAGCCCGUGCGUGCUGGGCGCUGGCCGAGUCAGUGAAACCAGCCCGUCAGGCCAGACCCCCAACGAUCUGCAAUGCGGCCCAUUACGUAGUCCGGCCCUUCGCGCGCGCUCUCUCUCAAAGCCAGCUCGGAUUUCCACCACUCUUUUAUUACAAACAGCCCGUCUUAAUUUUCACAACAGUCCGAUUUCCACCACUCCUUUAUUACAAACCGGAUUUCUUAAAACCUUCUCAAUUUUUAAACUUUUUUUUUACCCUGGUGGUUUUGUCUAACGUGACCACGUCGACAAAUAAAGGGUAAAUCGGACCAUAACUUUUCUUUUUCUGAAAAAGAAAAUAUUAUCAUAUGUUUUCCCUGGAAACAUUAAUUAGCCUCGGUAUGUUAUUACCACAUACCGAUGACUUUGCUAAUUCACUUUAGAUAUGUUAAUACUCUCUGGUAAUAUUUUUUUGGUAAGUUAACUAGUCCACUAUGAUUUGCAAUUAAAGUUUAUUAACACAAGAAUUAUGAUAUACACGUCAUCGGGACACAUCAUCCACUAUGGAUAUAAUCUCCACGGUUAAUGCUAAUAAAUCUAUACAUGUAUUAUAUCAUGUUCCUGCAUUACCAACACCAUACAUAUAGAUUUCUCCUUCAUAUUCGCGUUAACAUGCGGAGAAUCCUCCUAGUUCAAUCUAAAUAAAUGUGCAUCAUGUAUGUAUACACCAGUGCAACCCUAGACUGUGGAACAAUUUGGAAAAUUGAGAGUGACCGCAUCAAAAACUAAUUCCACACUAACUUGAGUUACAGAUUUUUACGUAUCUUCAAAAGAAUUCAUGAAACUUGAUACAUAUUUGACUAUACCAACGUAUGGUAUUAUAAAAAACUAAACUUAAGAUAUUGUGUUUACCAAUGCUAGAAAAAAAAUCUACGAAGAUCUUAUUUUAAUUAAAUACAAACUUAAUUAUGCACUGUCAUAUUAUUGCCAAUAUUUCCUUAUAUAUUUGUUGUCGACACAAAAUAAAUUAUAGCUCUCAAAGUUUGUAUAAAAAGAGAGAAACAUAAAUAGUUAUGUAACACUUUUUUAUUCCGUUGCAUCGCGAGGGUACAUUUGCUAGUAUUAUAGAAAGGCCAGGGUCCAUGCUGUGCAAUUUUUUUACAUUAAAUAGCACCUCGAUCCUGUGGUGCUCUUGUUUUAAGGGAAAAAAGAAAAAAAAUAAAUCUUCUCUGUACAACAAGCCGACGCCCAGGUAGAUGGAUGGAUUCAGGAGCUGAGCGUAACAUGGCUGUGCCUGCUCCCGUUCUCCAUCCGUAUCCAUGACACUGCCGAGAAUGGAUCCUCCGUGACCUCAAUGAUCCUCGCUCCUUUGGGCCAGCCACCGUAUCCCCCGUACCCAGUGUGCCGUGCGAAGCACAGCCACAGCUCCUGGUACGGGCAGCACCAGUCCAGCCCGUGGUUAUGGCCAACAAACACUGCCUGUCAUCAAUAAAAAGAGAACAGUGUCACAGUGUGGCUGAUAAAUAUUCUGACCCAAGCACCAGAACAGUGAUGGAUUCAGUUGCUUAUUAAUCUGAUGAUGAACCACUGACUGACGCACCUUAACUGACGGCCUCUUGGCGAGUGCAUCCAUGAUGCCCCAUUCAGCUGCCUGUGGCGCCACUUCCUCCUUGUUGAUGGAGCCAACGCAGGGCUUCCUUAUCUCUGACUUGGCUUUUGGACCUACCUUCACGUACGCCGUGCUUGGUAUAUGCCAAAAGAUGAGCUCAGGGAUCCUGCAUGACUCAACAAAAACAAAAAAAAAAAAAGAGAGAGGAUGAUGCUGAUAUUGCUAAUUUGAUAUUAUUAUGAUAAAAAAACUGUUUUCCCUUAGAGUAAGAAACUUUCUAAUCCUUCCUUAAUGUGGAAUAGAAAGAUUUUGAUAAAAGACUAACCUUCAACAGUUUUUCUAAAUGGUUAUCCAAAUCUUUUAUUCUGAAUUUCUCGCUAACUAAAAAUAGAAGACAAGAAUGGUUUUUUAGAGUGCACGUGAGAUUUAGAAAGACUCUUGAAGAUGCUCUAGCAGUUUUAAUAUGAAAAAACACUGUUGCUGACAGCCAUUUCUAUCUAACCUUCCAUUUGGAUUGAGGAACUGAGACUGGCUGUGGAACCACUUGACCUGAGCGCUGGACACCACUUCGGUGUACGACCCGCCGCCCGAAUCGAGGAAGUACAUGAGCAGAGCUGGGUCGUGAUCGUCGCCGGCGCGGGUUCGUCGUCGUCGCGAGAGCACCUGCAGGACGUAGUUGGAGACGCCGGGCCACAGCUCCCUGGGCCCGCUGGACGAGUAGGACAGCCGACUGUUGGCGCCGGUCUCCGCCGCCAUGAGGUCGGUCCGGGGAGUCCCUCGGAAGCUGCAUCCUGAGUCCGGCGUGCUCGGCGGUGGGCUGGCGGGGCAGCGCAGCGGAGGGACGCCGUCGGGGGAGAACCACUCGGGCGGCCACUCGAAGGGCAUGUCGUCGUGGUUGCCGAACACCGUCGCCCACGGGACGCCCCGGCUUCGGGAGGCCGAGAUGGCGCGGUCCCAGUACAGGCUCGCGUUGGGGAUCGGGAGGUUGUUCGCCGUCACCAGGUCGCCGAGGUACACCACGAAGUCUGAUUGACGAUGCAUGGAUUCCGCCGCGGCGGCAGAGACCGACGAGGCGACGACAGAGGAGUUUCGUUUCAGUUCUUCCGGAGGAAAUAACUGAAAGGGAAAGCAAGCAUCGGCAUGGGCAGGGAGGGACCUGGGUUCUCGGCGUCGAGGACGGCGGCCAUGACGCGGUCGGACUUGGCGUCCUGCGCGGGGCCCCAGUCCGUCCACGCGUUCUCGCCGUAAUGCAGGUCUGCGAACAGGGCCACCUUGAACACUCCUGCCGGCCCGAACCGGAGCGGCGGCCGCCCGUGCGCGUGCGCCGUCGCCGGCCGCAGCCCGGCCACCGUGAGCGCGGCGAGCAGUACGACGGAGGCGGGCGCGAGGCCGUGCGACCACUUGCGCAUCGCGGAUUUUCCUCGACGGCACGGGGCGGCGGGGUCCUGGGAGCGGCGGGGCUUGGUGCGUUGUUGGUUUGGUGAGAAAGAAGGGGGAGGUGCGGGACAGGACAGUGGGAGCGAGACGUGACGUGACGGCUGGGCCUGGCCUGGGCGCCUGGCGGUGGGAGCACGGGCCGUGGCCCGUGGGAGUGGGAGACUGGCAGCUGUUUACCCCCAAAAACAAAACAAGGCCUUGUUUAGUUCCCAAAAAUUUUACAAAAUUUUUUAGAUUUUCCGUCACAUCGAAUUUUUAGACGUAUGCAUGGAGUAUUAAAUAUAGAUGAAAAUAAAAAUUAAUUGCACAGUUUGGUCAGAAUUGACGAGACGAAUCUUUUAAGCCUAGUUAGUCCAUAAUUGAACAAUAUUUGUCAAAUACAAACGAAAGAGCUACUAUUCCUAUUUUACAAAACGCAGUUGGUGUGGUGGUGAUCAUUGGUAGAAGCUUCAGAAUUCAGAUGCUGUGUGUGUGACUGACUCCGUGACGCUGUAGCUCGUCGAUUUUUCUCAAUUCGGUUCGAUCUCCACGCUAGAGGUGCCCUAAUAAAACUACAUGUGGAUAUAUAAUUAAAUGACUUGUUCACGAUGAAAAAGAACUUUUUCUAAGAAAUGUGCCACGUCUGCAAAUCCCAUCAUCACAAGUAGCUCACAACUCACAAGAGCCACGGGAUGUACACGCCUUUGUGUAUACUGCUACGCUACGCAUGGCGUACGUAUACAUACACCCAGCUGCUCAUCCAAGUAUCGACCCCUCCGAUCCCCGCGUACACGUCGGAGCAAACAAACGCUCAGCGGUCGCAACAAUUCCUCAUCCUCUGCUGUACAUCAGACGCUGUAUACACGCAAAUGCACACACACAACUCAAUUGAAUCCAUGCCAUGCAAUGCAAUGCAAUGGUCGUCCAUGGAUGGACCGUGGACGAAGCUGCUGCAUGCUAUAUCGUCAGGCUCCGAAGGUGAUGGGGUAAACCCUCUCCAUGUUUGGGUAGAAGAGCCCCCAGUUCUGCUCCACGCCGGCCUCCUUCUGGUCCUCGUUGAACAUGGCGAACACGUAGGCCUCCACCCUCCUUGGCCGCCGCGGCGUGCCCUUCCACACGUGCGUCACCAGGUUCUGGUUGUACGUCCUCGCGUUCUCCACCGACGCCGCCGCGCCGCCCGCCGUCGGCCACCCGGUCUCCGACACCACCACCCUCACGCGCUCACCCCCGGGGACGCCGAGCCUCCCCACCGCCGCGUACAGCGCGUCCACCGUCGCGUCGAACAGGUUCUGGUACCCGUACUCCCCGUCCUGCACCACCGUCUCCGGCGCCGUGAACAGCGGGAAGUCCAUGCUCAUGUGGCCCAGAGCUAGCGUGUAGACGAAGUACGGGUACAGGUUCGCCAGCAGCGGCGCGCGUGUCCGCGCCAGGAACGCCACCACGUAGCUCAUGAACGACAGCGCCUCCUCCGUGAACACGCCCGCCGACGGCGGCAGGUGCACGGCGAUGGUGCCCUGCGAGAUGGCCGUCGUCACCUUCACGUGGCCCAGCCCGGCGGCGGCCAGCGCCGCGUGCACGUUCUCCAUGGCCGGGACAAGGAACUGCGUCUGCCCCACGGGGACCUCGUUGCCCACCACCACGUAGCGGAAGGACACCGUCGGGUGCGCCUGGAUGUUGUCGCGGACCCACGCCGCCGCGGCGGACGCGCUGGACGCCAGCGUGGUCAGGACCUCGUUGGGCGCGCCCACCACCACCUUGAUGCCGCUCCCGCCCAGCGCCGCCAGCGCCUCGCCGUCGGGCCAGUAGAGACGCACCACCGUGAAGCCGUUCUCCCGGAGCAUGCCCACCACCGCGCUCGCCGGCGGCAGGUUGUCGCCGC